GUUAUUUACAAUUCCUCCUGCACAUCAAGAAAACAUUUACGAAAUCAUAUGUAGCUGAAACUUAAGUGUACAACCAGCGAGAUUACACACACACACAAAAGAUGCUUAUGCGUAUCAAGUUUACUGUAUGUUAACAAACACAUGUUGCGUCACUAGCUAUGCAAAAUUUAGCAAAAUUAGAAGCCAACUAAAAGCUGGACACCCAUAAUCCUUGCAGGUCGGUGCCAGGUUUUGAUUUGUUUCAGCAUGCAAACAACUCAGAAUCAGGUUAUAAUCCUGGGAUACAGGC
rnacentral:misc_RNA from 1 species